GCGGGAAGUAGUAUUUGCCCUCAAGGAGCUUACAAUCUAUUUGGGGCAAUAGACAGGCAAAUAGGCAAAUACUAUGCAGGUGACAACUUAAGGUAGGAA
rnacentral:miRNA from 1 species